rnacentral:rRNA from 1 species
GGGGAAUAUUGCACAAUGGAGGAAACUCUGAUGCAGCAACGCCGCGUGAGUGAAGAAGGUUUUCGGAUUGUAAAGCUCUGUCAUCUGGGACGAUAAUGACGGUACCAGAUGAGGAAGCCACGGCUAACUACGUGCCAGCAGCCGCGGUAAUACGUAGGUGGCAAGCGUUGUCCGGAAUUACUGGGCGUAAAGGGUGCGCAGGCGGACAUUUAAGUGAGAUGUGAAAGACCCGGGCUUAACUUGGGCAGUGCAUUUCAAACUGGAUGUCUAGAGUGCAGGAGAGGAAAGCAGAAUUCCUAGUGUAGCGGUGAAAUGCGUAGAGAUUAGGAAGAAUACCAGUGGCGAAGGCGGCUUUCUGGACUGUAACUGACGCUGAGGCAUGAAAGCGUGGGGAGCAAAC